rnacentral:rRNA from 1 species
AUGAGGAACUGGAAAGAAGAGGCAGCGGAGAAAAGAGACAAGUACGACUUUCAAUAUGGUCGUGGUGUUGGGAUGAGGGUCAUAGAGAAAUUGAACAAACGCAUUGUCUUCUACAAAGCCGGUGAUAUUGAAAAAGAAGAAGAGAAUGAGUAUGGUGAUAUUAGUGAAUCUAGAAACUAUGGUGGAGAACCUUGUAAAGAAUGGGUAUGUCAACCUGAUAUGGACAAUUUAAAAACACCAGCAAAAAAGAAUGUGCAAGAGGAUGAUGAAGAUGAUCUUAAUGAUUUUGAAGAAAAGAGACCUUAUUAUUGCACACCUGAAUAUUGCGAUAGUUUCAAGGGUGAUAAAGAUGAUCCUAUCGAAGUUCCUGAGGUAUCUGAUGAGAAAUCCGUUACAUCUUUAGGAUCAGAUGAAAUCGCAUCACGUGGAUCAGUAGGUUCUAUUGGAGAAGAUGAGGUACCGGAGGAGGUUGUUGGGAAACGGAAGCGCAAGGUAUCAAACCUUAUGAAGUCUCCUUAUGUGCGUACUAUACCAACUAAGCGUGCAAAACGUUCUGCAAAAGCAAAACUAUUCGAGAAAGAAGUCUUUCAAAAUUCUAGUGAUGAAUACGAUGUGGUGAAAGCUGGUGUUAAGUUUGUCCGUGCUUAUGAGCAGUUAGGAAAACAUAGAAAGAAGGAAAUAUUCAAUGAUGGCAUGCGCGAAGGUCUUAGUGCAGAGAGGGCUUGUAAGAUUCUUGACCAUCAAUGGCUGACCUGUGAUAGAAAACAACUUGGAUAUGACAUACGUGAUGCGAAUGCGAGCGGUGCUGUGAAUUAUCCGGAUGUGUCUACCUGGCCUAUUAAAACGUAUAAGAUGCCACAACAGGAAGAUUGGUGA